UAAGGAAUGCAUGCGAUUGGAAGUGCAUGUCCAAGCAAUGAGUCUUGAGUAGAGUUAAAUGCUUUACUCUUUAAGGACAAGUUGUGACGGGGAGCGAAAUAAUAGUAGCGAAGUUCCUGAUGUCACACUGCCAAGAAAAGCUUCUAGUGAGAAAACAACUGCCCGUACCGUAAACCGACACAGGUAGUCGAGGAGAGUAUCCUAAGGUGAGCGAGCGAACUCUCGUUAAGGAACUCGGCAAAAUGACCCCGUAACUUCGGGAGAAGGGGUGCUGACUUCGGUCAGCCGCAGUGAAUAGGCCCAAGCGACUGUUUAUCAAAAACACAGGUCUCUGCAAAAUCGUAAGAUGAAGUAUAGGGGCUGACGCCUGCCCGGUGCUGGAAGGUUAAGAGGAUGGGUUAGCUUCGGCGAAGCUCAGAAUUGAAGCCCCAGUAAACGGCGGCCGUAACUAUAACGGUCCUAAGGUAGCGAAAUUCCUUGUCGGGUAAGUUCCGACCCGCACGAAAGGCGUAACGAUUUGGGCACUGUCUCAACGAGAGACUCGGUGAAAUUUUAGUACCUGUGAAGAUGCAGGUUACCCGCGACAGGACGGAAAGACCCCAUGGAGCUUUACUGUAGUUUGAUAUUGAGUGUUUGUACCACAUGUACAGGAUAGGUAGGAGCCGAUGAGACCGGAACGCUAGUUUCGGAGGAGGCGCUGGUGGGAUACUACCCUUGUGUUAUGAACCCUCUAACCCGCACCACUAAUCGUGGUGGGAGACAGUGUCAGAUGGGCAGUUUGACUGGGGCGGUCGCCUCCUAAAAGGUAACGGAGGCGCCCAAAGGUUCCCUCAGAAUGGUUGGAAAUCAUUCGAAGAGUGUAAAGGCAGAAGGGAGCUUGACUGCGAGACCUACAAGUCGAGCAGGGACGAAAGUCGGGCUUAGUGA
rnacentral:rRNA from 1 species